rnacentral:rRNA from 1 species
AUUGAACGCUGGCGGCAUGCCUUACACAUGCAAGUCGAACGGCAGCACGGGUGCUUGCACCUGGUGGCGAGUGGCGAGCGGGUGAGUAAUACAUCGGAACAUGUCCUGUAGUGGGGGAUAGCCCGGCGAAAGCCGGAUUAAUACCGCAUACGAUCUACGGAUGAAAGCGGGGGACCUUCGGGCCUCGCGCUAUAGGGUUGGCCGAUGGCUGAUUAGCUAGUUGGUGGGGUAAAGGCCUACCAAGGCGACGAUCAGUAGCUGGUCUGAGAGGACGACCAGCCACACGGGGACUGAGACACGGCCAAGACGCCUAAGGGAGGCAGCAGUGGGGAAUGUUGGACAAUGGGCGAAAGCCUGAUCCAGCAAUGCCGCGUGUGUGAAGAAGGCCUUCGGGUUGUAAAGCACUUUUGUCCGGAAAGAAAUCCUUGGCCCUAAUACGGUCGGGGGAUGACGGUACCGGAAGAAUAAGCACCGGCUAACUACGUG